UGAGGAAUAUUGGUCAAUGGGCGCAAGCCUGAACCAGCCAUGCCGCGUGCAGGAUGACGGUCCUACGGAUUGUAAACUGCUUUUAUACAGGAAGAAACAACUCUACGUGUAGAGUCUUGACGGUACUGUAGGAAUAAGGAUCGGCUAACUCC
rnacentral:rRNA from 1 species